AUUGCUUCUUCGGCCUUUUGGCUAAGAUCAAGUGUAGUAUCUAUUCUUAUCAGUUUAAUAUAGUUACUAGUUUGAAAAAUGCUUGAAAUGGAGAAAAAAGCAUUAAUAGAAAUUUUAAGAAUUUGAGCCUUGCAGUAACCUUGC
rnacentral:snRNA from 1 species